rnacentral:lncRNA from 1 species
ACCCGCGCCAAUCAGAAAUAGCUCAGGUCAAGUCUUCCGGUCACCCUCCACCGUGGACCACUGCCCGAGAAUCGCUUCUAGUGGCAGUGGCCACUAGAACCAAGAAAUUUAGCCAUCACCAGCUUCGUCUUAACCUCCUCGUUACAAAUAUCCCAUUAAUUUCACCUAAUUUUUGCUCUAAACUCAAAACUGACCCAAUUCUCUCAAGAACCCUAAAACUCAUCUCUUAAAUUAAAUGCUAAGCAAAAGGAUUCAAAGCCCCUGAGGCUGGGGCUUUGAAUCACCUCUUGCACCUCUACAUGUUAGCAACCGGGAUUAAAGAAAACAAAAGGAUUUUGGAACUCACCGUGGCCGGAGGUUUUGAAAGGUGAUGAAGAACGCAGAUGAAUUUCUACCUCUAAGUAAGUAUUGGUCAUUUUAUCUUGGUUCUUCUUGAAAUCCUGUUCUUCUAUGUUUCUUGAUUUUUCUCUGUUGUUGCUGUUGAGAAUUAAGGAGUGUUGAGGUUCUGUGUAUGAUGAUUGGUGAAGAUGAUGAAUGUUAGGAGGUUGGAGGUUUCUGUUUAGGCUAGGGUGAACGGAGAUGAAUGUGUUGAUGAUGAUUCUGAGAUUGAAGGUUGAUGGUGAUUGAAGGUGAAAAUGUGAGAUUCUGAGAGUUGAGAGUGAAGUUCUGAUUGCAGAUUUAUGGAGAAUCAUUUGGGUCCCUGGAGAAAUUAUUAGAGAUUGCUAUUUAUGGAUGGUUGAAUGGAUAUGGAUUGUGAAUUUCGAUUAGGGAAGUUUGUUAGGAAUUGUGAAAUCGAUGCAAUUAGUUUGUUAUUCAGUUUUCUGUUUUGUGGGGAUCCCUAUGCAAAAUCUAGUUAGGGAAUUAAGUUAGUUGUGAAUGGUAGCUCGAUAGGUUAAGCUUUGUUUAGUCAUGAUGUGAUGCAGAAGUGUUUAUGUGGAGGUUCUAAUUCUGACAUGGUUUGUUUUACAACAGGCAUGACCUUGUAAAAUGGUUCACAUUGCAGCAGGGUGCAGCUUGGCAUAUUGUAUUUUGCAGCUUCAUGGCAUGUUUUUCUACAGGUCUGCAGUAUGGCUUAACAACAUGGUUUCACUUGACUUGCAUUACAAUGAGCAUGUGUGUCUUAACUUGUGCAGCAGGUCUGCAUUGCAUUAUGGCAUGUUUAUCAUGGUUCUGACUUGGUUAUGGUGUUGUGUAGAUUUGAACCAUGUGCAUUGCUUCAUGUUGCAGCAGGUUUUACUGCAUUCUGACCUGGUCCAUGUUCUGCUCAUGGUUUUUUUAUUUUGUGAAAUGAUUCUGACUUUAUCUUAUGUAGCAUGGAAUCAUGGUUUGUGUUUGUUAGGAAUUCUUACUCCAUUCACUGCCUUGCCUUGGUUUUGUAGGUCAUGUGUACAUGAAGGAUGAUGGUUCAACAUGACAUCAAGAUUGAACUUUAAGGCAUCCAUGUACAAAUGGCAAAGAUGCAAAGAUCAAGAUGGAUUUUGAAGAUUAGGAUUAGAAUUAGAAUUAGGGAUUUAGGGUUUUAGGAUGGGAAAAGGUUGAGUUGAAUUUUGUCAAAGUUGACCGAAAAAUUAAUUGUUGACCAAAGUCAACACUUGGUCAAAGUUAACAAAUUUUGUAGUUUUCUAUAUAAUGAACAUUUGUAAUGAUGGAAUAAAUGGAAUUGACUAUUUUGGAUGAAAUUGGAUUGGUUUUUGAAUUGUUC